rnacentral:rRNA from 1 species
AUGCGUGGUGGGCAGCUCCUUGGACGACGACGGGAACAUUAUCUACCGCACCGAAGACUCCAACCUGGCAUCUCACGGAGACGACGUGCGGUUCUUCUCCGUCACCGCACGAGUCGCGCGCUCCUGGAUGUAUCGCCACGUGCCCUCUGUGCCGACGGCGCCGCGCCGUCGUGCGUCGUCCUGGUCGUGCACGAGCAGCCGAUGGACCUCCACUUCGCCAGGCCAGGAGACGAGCGCUGGUCCUCGCUAUCCUCCGUCGGCACCGGCUUUGUCAGCGCCGUCUACAACGACAAGGACGGUCUGUUCUACGUGCUCCAGUGCUGCGGCACCGUCCACGCUCUAGACCUCCACGGCCAGACGUCCCCGACGGCAAGGGUUCUCAUCCGCACGCGGGGGCUCGUUGUUCAUCGCCGCUCCCUCGCCGUCACGCCGUGCGGCGACGUCUUGCUGGUGGCGAGGACAUCUUGCCUGUUAGAGCGCCUUGAUAUCUACGACAGCGGGAACGCCUUCUCUGUGUACAAGCUUGACCUCAGGGCGAAGAAGAAGGUGAAAUUAGAGGGCAUCGGAGACCAUGCUCUGUUCCUUGGAAACAAGAGCUCGGCGGUGUGCGCUCCGGUCGUGGACUGCCCCAGGCUAAGACCAAAUUGUGCAUAUCUGGCCGACUUUAGCCGUGCGAGCAUCCCCAAUAGAGAGCGCAAGGUGAUCAAGAAGCGGGACGUCGCCAUCUACUGGGACUUUGAGAGCGGGGUAAUGCAUAACAUCUGUAAUAUGUGGCCUCUCCAUUUGCUGGAUAUACCGGAGACGGCGCCGGCUCCAAUUUGGUUAACACCCUCUCCUUUGUAA